GCGGCCGUGGUGAACUCGGCGGACACGUCGGUCUUCCAAGCCGAAGCAGAGGGUUCGAUGCCCUCCGGCCGCU
rnacentral:tRNA from 1 species